GGGACAACAGUUGGAAACGACUGCUAAUACCGCAUAAUCCCUGAGGGGGAAAGAUUUAUCGCUUUAAGAUUGGCCCGCGGAAGAUUAGGUAGUUGGUGGGGUAAAGGCCUACCAAGCCGACGAUCUAUAGCUGGUCUGAGAGGACGAACAGCCACAUUGGAACUGAGACACGGUCCAGACUCCUACGGGAGGCAGCAGUGAGGAAUAUUGGGCAAUGGAGGAAACUCUGACCCAGCCAUGCCGCGUGAGUGAAGAAGGUUUUCGAAUUGUAAAGCUCUUUCGGAUGGGACGAUGAUGACGGUACCAUCUAAAGAAGCCCCGGCAAACUUCGUGCCAGCAGCCGCGGUAAUACGAAGGGGGCAAGCGUUGUUCGGAAUUACUGGGCGUAAAGGGUGUGUAGGCGGAUUUGUAAGAUAGUGGUGAAAUACCUGAGCUCAACUUAGGAAUUGCCAUUAUAACUAUAGAUCCGGAGUGACAGAGAGGAUAUUGGAAUACCCAGUGUAGAGGUGAAAUUCGUAGAUAUUGGGUAGAACACCAGUGGCGAAGGCGAGUAUCUGGCUGUCAACUGACGCUGAGGCACGAAAGCAUGGGGAUCAAACAGGAUUAGAUACCCUGGUAGUCCAUGCUGUAAACGAUGAAUGCUAGUUGUCGGCAAAAGCCGGUGACGCAG
rnacentral:rRNA from 1 species